GGACGCGACUGCGCUCAGUUCUCUCCUCUCGGAAGCUGCAGCCAUGAUGGAAGUUUGAGAGUUGAGCCGCUGUGAGGCGAGGCCGGGCUCAGGCGAGGGAGAUGAGAGACGGCGGCGGCCGCGGCCCGGAGCCCCUCUCAGCGCCUGUGAGCAGCCGCGGGGGCAGCGCCCUCGGGGAGCCGGCCGGCCUGCGGCGGCGGCAGCGGCGGCGUUUCUCGCCUCCUCUUCGUCUUUUCUAACCGUGCAGCCUCUUCCUCGGCUUCUCCUGAAAGGGAAGGUGGAAGCCGUGGGCUCGGGCGGGAGCCGGCUGAGGCGCGGCGG
rnacentral:lncRNA from 10 species